CUACCGCCCUCUACGUCUGACAGUAUAUUUUGCUUCAACUGAGAGUUUCUUGAGGGAAGGUACCAAGUCGUUUGAACUAACUCUAUAGUAUUUGAUAUAACUCAAUAACUUUUUUCACUUAAAAAAAUAUAGAAAUUAGUUCAAGUCUUUGAUGCUGUUGAUACAAUAGAGAUUUUUGUUUUAUCUAAAAUAAUUAAAAAUUUCACUCAAAGUAAAUUGUGAGGUGAUUGAAGGUUCGUUGAAACUGUCCUUGCAAUUGAUUCAAUAAAAAAUCGAAUUGUUUCAAGUUGCUGUAUUGCAUUGAUCCAAAAAAACAGUAAUCUGCAUCAAGUUCCACUAAGAACUUUAAAUCGAUGGGCUACGAAGAAAUCUGACUACUCUGCUUGCAAUGAUGCACGAUGUAAUGAUAGUUCUGAUACACAAAGUGAUGAUAGUUCUGAUACACAAAGUGAUGAUAGUUCUGAUACACAAAGUGAUGAUAGUUCUGAUACACAAAGUGAUGAUAGUAGUGAUCAAGAAAGUGUUAAUGACUAUCAUACUGGUUCAAGUGAUGAGGAUGUCAUCGGCAUUGAAGAUCACGAAACAAUUGAUAAUAAUGGCAACAAUGAGUAUGCAGCAAAUACUUUAUUGUAUGAAAAUAGCGAUAUCACAGUAGAUGAAGCUGUUUUUAAUUUAUUAGAUUAUUAUAUAAAACAUCAACUCUCUAAUUCUGCGCUAGAAGAUGCAUUGAAAAUUCAACUAGCAGCUCUUCCUCGUAAUAAUCGGUUACCAAAGACUUUAUUUAAAUUAUUUCAAUAUGUUGAAAAAAUUACAUUGUCACGUAACCAUUCAAAUUAAUUAAUAAUUAAUUAGAAAUAAGUAAUAGUAUUUAAGUUUAAAUUUGAAUGGUUACGCGGGCAUUUCGUUGCCACGCCGGUGAGACAGCGUUUGCUCGCGCAUGCGCGCGGUAUGACUGAGAGCACGUGUGUGCGAAAAUUUUAAAUUUUAAUUUAAAAAUAACUACACUUAUUAUUUAUUAUUUAUAAGCGAAUAUUUAUGAUUUGGCGUUAUUCAGAGGACAUAAUGUGUGGUCACAUUAUGGCCCAAUUAUUAUUUUUAUUUUAUUUCGAAUUAAUUGCAUAUCCAGGUAUUGUGGAAAUGAAAAUAGUCACCAUAGAGGAGGGGAAAAAUCGAUAUUUUCCCCUGCAAUAUCGACGGAUAACAUGCGGUUCUAAUUAAUUAUUAUUUAAUUAUAUAUAAAUUAUAUGAUUAUUAUUUUGGUAGAAAUAAAUACUAAAUAUAUGUAUUUAAUUUAUUAUGUAUCAUUCAGGUGGGGUAAAAUUGUCUUUAUAAUUUAUUUAAUUAAUUUAAAGGCCCGGGGCUAGGUAACAAUGAUAAUGAUAAUUAAGGGCGAUUGUUGCGCCACGUGGGUGGCCAACAAGUGGCCGGCCCAUUAAGUACUCAGAAAGGUACGGAGAGUACAACUGAGUAGACGCUGUCUUACGUUGUCAAUACGUUUUUGAUUGAUUAAUUAAUUUUGGUUGUUAUUUGUGGUCACGUUUGUAAAGUUGUUUAUAUCAAUUCACCGGGUGAUUGAGUUCCGGAACGAGGUGCUGAUUAAUUUGGGAGAUAAUCGAAAGAAGCUUCUCCACUAUAUGGAGACAGAGUCAUGACAUACAAUUUGCACCAGCUACGACACCUUGGUCUUUGUGUGAGACGAUGGGGCCCAUUGAGAUCAAUAUCAGCUUUUCCAUGGGAAAACAAAAACGGAUACAUUGCCAAUAGUGUUCAUGGCAACAAAAAUAUGGGCCAGGAAAUAGUAAAUAAAUUAAAAAUUACUCAAAGAAUUCAGAUCCUAAAGAGUAACAUUGCUCAGAACAAUUUGGCUGCUGAAGUUCAUAGGCAAAGAAAUUACAAACUCUUAGGAAAAGCUAUCGGAGUUGAAAUGCAAGAUGAUGAACGUCAAUUAAUUACAUCUGAGGGAUUUAAUUAUCAAAGUUUAAAAAUCUAUUCUAGGGCAAGAAUAAAUAAUGAAAUUUAUACGUCAACUUUAUACAAAGUAACUAAAACUAACAGUUAUACAGUAAAAGCAUUAUCUAAUUGUGGUCGAUGUAUUGAUGGAUCAGUAAGAUUUUUUUUUGAGAGACAAAGACGAUUGUACUUCAUGAUUAGAUGUUUGCAUGUUGAACAUAAUAAGAUGAUGACUCAUUUAAAGACUAAAUCAACGGUAAAACAUAUAAUACCUGUUACUGAGUCUACGACAUACUUUCUUGUUGGGCUGGAAAAUUUGAAAUAUAUUUGUUAUCUUGUACGAGUAGGUAACUAUAUUUGUAAAAAACCUGACGACGUAAGAAAGGUUUGGUAAA